UGAAAUAAUUGUUCUCUAAAACAGGUCUUAGAAAAUUGACAGGUUAUUUUCUAAUAAAAUUAUUUAAGAUCCUUUUUCUCGUCAUUAUCUAUUUUUUGAUUUAUAAAUUAUAAUAAUUGCCAGGUGGUGCUACAGUGCCCGCCACCAAUCGCUGCGGCGACGCCGCUUCCCCCAAAUGAACUUUAAAUCCUUUUCAAGCAAACUCGACCUGCGUUUGUGAAUAAACUGAAAUAUAUCGAACGGAAAAGUCUAGCAUUUCAUCGGUAGACUCGUCGAUCAUCUACAUUUUUGGGAAUGGAAGCUUAGUUUUCGAAGUGUAAAUUGCAAUCUGCGGGUUCCAGAAGAAACACCUUAUGCUUCUGAAGAGUGCGAAUUAUCGAAUAUGUCUUCUUAAUCAAUUGCUACUUUGCUACUCGUUCUAAACCCUCACUUCCGCGAAGGAAAACAAACCGAUCGCCGAUACGAUUCCAAUGCAUAUCCAACAGCUACAUCUCAAGGCCGAAGAACUACAAUCUCGACCUUCCAGCAGGCAUGACAAACUCCAGUGAAGCUUGAUAUCUGUCACAGAGAAACUAGAGUCAGGUCUACCCAUGGGAAGUACUAUCUUACAGGUAAAUGUCAAUAUUCUGAUCAUCAAUUAAUUGACUAUUAUCUUUGCUGAAUUUUUUGAGAUUCAUUGGUCUUCUAGCAUCCUGAUAAAGGUAGUAGGGAGCAUACUAGGUAACUUUUUAGUUUAUUUUUAUAUGUGAAUAAAAAGUAAGCUGAAUAGAAGUCUAGAAUAUAUAACUUUUAGUGUCAAAUAUAUGCCAUUCAAGUAUUCAACCAUGUGGUAGUCAUUAUUGGAAUCUAAAAAAGCUGUUACUUCCCUUUUUGGAUGCUCCUCAAGUCCAUAUAGGCCAGUGAUGUUUUGUCAGUAGAUAUGUCGAUAUUGCACUUAUGGUGCAUACUGUCUCCUUGAUUCCAGCCCUAGAGUUUUAACUGGAGUUUCAUCAAAAUCAUAAUGAAAUUUCCUGCAGUAAAUAGUAAUCUACUAUUCAAUCAAAGACAUAAAGUUCAUAUAAAGGUUUCCAUUUCACCAACAUUAUGUGGUUCAACUUCUCAAUCAUUAUUACUAUAAAGAUUCCAAUUCCACCUAUUUUUUGUUCAAGUUUUUCUUUUUUUCAGUGACAACUUUUUAAAGAUAACACACUAAUUAAUAUGCAAAUGACUAUAGAAUUAUGAUCCUUUUGGAAUUUCGAAAAUAGUACCAGUGAUGAAGCUCAAUUGUCUAUCCAUAAACUCAUGAAACUUGAUUCCAAUCCUUGUUAACUUGUAUAAAUGACUGAAAUACCCUUUCGAAACCUAUUAUUAACACUGCACUAUGCUGGUUUCUUUGUUUUCUGUUGUUAAAUUUAUCUUUUUACCUAAAGAUAGUCUUAAUUCUUAAAGAAGUUUCAUGAACAAGAAAUUAAUAAAAGGAUAAUUUAAAUACUUUGAGAAGUACUUAAAAAAGCUUCUUGAUCGAGAAAUCAAUUACAUUCUAAAUCAUUUGAUAGAUUUAGAAGCCAAACAAAAAUCUACAAAGUAUGAAAAUUUCACUCUAGAUUGUGUUACAAAUGUCAUUCAAGUCAUGAUAUAAGUCAUUAGAAAAGAGUAAAGGGAAAGAUUCCAAGUGGAGAGGCAUUUUGGCAUUUAAUGAAAUAAAUUCCACUAUUUUCAUGAUAAUGCCAAGUCACCCUUGACAAUGAACUUUAUAAGUAUCUUAUAGUUGUUGAUAUAGUCCAAUAAUACAUUAUAUCAUCAUGAUUUUAUAAUUUGAUUGGAAGAACAAAUGUGGAAUCUAUUUUGAUCCCAUGUGAUUAUUAUACUUUCCCUUACUUCAUAGCUUUAAACAUAUUAAAAUUAGUUUUGAACUAUUUUAAGUAUGUUUUAUUGUGUAAAAACACUCCUACAAGCCUACAAUAACAUGAACAAUAUCCUAAUAAGAAAAAGAAUUAAAGAUUGGAGAUUUCUCAAAGUAAAAUGCUUUAAUAAGAAAAAAAAAAUUGAAAAUACAAUGUUGUAAUUGUGACUUUGACUUUGACUUUUGGAGUAAAAAGGCUAUAUUUAGCUUGUUGAUUGAUUUAUAUAUUUAUUUUACAAAUUUACAAAGAGUCAAAGAACUUAAUAACUACAUUACACAAUAUAAACAACACUAUGUCAGAAAGAAAAAGAUUUUCUUAUAACUUUAAGAUAAUUUACAUCAAUUUAGAAUCAAUUAAGUGGCUUUUUGACUUUAGUAUUCGAAUCAAUAACCACUUAAUCUCAAAGAAUGAACUUUGACUCUUCCAAGAAACUUUGUUGACCCGAAUUCCCAAUUUUCCACUUCUUGCAUCCCCAAAAAAGUAAAAAAAAAAAAGAAAAUCCAAGUCAACUCCCGUGAUAAUUCGAGUCAAUGAUAUGGAGGUCAUGAUUUCUUUUUUUGUUUUUUGUUUUUUCAUUUUAAAAUUCCUCCACUACCACACGUUGCUUUGAAAGGUCAUUUUCGACUUUUCAAAAUAAUUAUGAUUUAUAUUUUUGGUCAUAAGUCGAAUAUACCCUUUUGAAAAAUUCUGUGGCCAGGAGCAAGGAUUGCUAAUGGGUCAUAAGCCAUUUUCCUCCGUUGAAAAGUCUCCCAUGUUUGACCAAAGUGGGCCCUCCACUCAUCUUGUGUGUGAAAAUGUGGUAAAUAUUGUUUGACUCCUAAGUGGGCUUCUUUGCAGAAAUCCAAGAUUUUUUUAUUCUGACUCAGUAAGUGUUGUAGACUAUCUUUUCCUUUGGUGGAUAAAGGAUUUGCUUGUGAUAGAAAUGCCACUAAGUAGAAUAUAUCUUCAUCUGGUAUUACUGCUGAACUCCUGUUGUUCCAUCUAAAAAAAAAAGUUUACAUAAGUUUCACUUCACCCCCCUGUAGACUUUUUCCUUUGCAAAACUACCCCCUCCGCUUCACUAAAUGUUUUUUGUAAGGAAUUGAAUCUCUCAACUCGUGAAAUUAGUUUAGAAAAAUUAAUAGUUUUACAUUUUUAUUUAUUGUAAACCUCAAAUUUAUUUUUUUGACUGAAAAAGACCUUGUAUAUUUUUAUUUUUUCCGAAAAAACCCUCAACUUUGUAUUUUUCUUGAAAAAAACCCUCAACCUUCUAAAUGCUUCUAAAUAAACCUUCGGCUUUUUUGGUUUUUCUUGAAAAGACUCACGUUUUACAAUUUAUUUUGGAAAAAAAUGUCUAUAAGGGCCAAAUUGGAAAAAAAUAAAAAAAAUACAAGGUCUUUUUUAUAGGAAAAAAAUAAAUUUGAGGUUUAAUCCGGGAAAAACAUAAAAUGUAAGGUCUUUUAUGAGAUUAACCCUUUUAUCUAUUGUAAUUAUAUAUAACUGAAUUUUUGUUGUUAUUUAUUUCAGUAUAUAGUAUAGGGUUAAUCUUAUAAAAGACUUUAUAUUUUGUGUUUUUUCCGGAUUAAACCUCAAGUUUAUUUUAUUUUUUUCCUGAAAAAGACCUUAGAUUUUUUCAUUUUUUCCGAUCUAGUCCUUUUAGUCAUUUUUUUUUUCAAAAAGGUUGAGGGUUUUUGCGGGAAAAACUAAAAAUGUUGAGGGUUUAUUCGGAAACAGUUAGAAGGUUGAGGGUUUUUUUCGGAAAAAAAAAGACAAAGUUGAGGGUUUUUUCUGGAAAAAAUGAAAAAACACAAGGUCCUUUUCAGGAAAAAAAAAGACAAAGUUGAGGGUUUUUUUUUGGAAAAAAUGAAAAAACAUAAGGUCUUUUACGAGAUUAACCCUAUAUUACAAGGGUAUUCUUGUCUUUCAAUAAAAAAAAUUGAAUCUCACAUUCCAAUUCCUUCAUAUUCCGUUAAAAUACGUAAACAAAUGAUGAAUGUAAUGUAUAUAAUAACUAACAAUAAUAACCCAGUUCCAUGCAUUCAACAUUCAUCAUUGUGUAAUUUUAUAAAGUAGAGGGGUUGAUUUGCCAAUCUGAAAUAGUACAAGGGCUAAAAAAAUUUACUUUGAUUUGUUGACUGGGUAAACAAGGACAGGCCCAUUGCUUGUAUCUGCUAAAAUCUUCCCAAAAACUUCAUCACCAAAUCUCUGAAUUUUACUACUUGGAACAAGAAGAUUUAGCCAUGGAUGUGGAACAUCCCAUAACCCUUUCGCUUGUAGUUUUAUCUCUGCUGUAUGUACUCUAUCCAAAAACUCUAUAUACGUAACUUCAGUCAUAAAAACAGUUGAUGGAAUAUACCUCAACUCAGAUAACAUGCUCUCAAUUUCCUGUUAUCAAUUUAAAAUCACUAACACUUUAAUAAAUCAAAAAUCAAAACUGGUUUGUAUUUCGUUCACAUUUAUCUCACCUCAUAAAUCUCACCAGUGUUAUCUGAUGGAUUGAAGUAUUUCGCCAAUUCAAGGCAAAAAAGGGUUUUUCCUUCCGACUUAAAUUGACUUGCUUCAUCAUCAUCUUUUGGGUUAAAAGAUGAUCUCCAAUUAUUGAGAAGACCUGUUCUGUUUAUAAUUACAAGUCCUUCUAUGUAAUCGAAUGAUUUUUUUGCUGAUAUUAAUCGCUCUUGAUCUCGAGUAAAUGUCGAAAAAUCUGAAUACAACACUCUGAUCCAUUUCACCUGUUUAUAUUGGAUUCAAUUAUUAGGUUAAAAAAAUUAGUUUCUAAAUCAAACCACAAAAUUGCUCAAAUAUAAUUCAAAUAUUCGGUAAACUUUUAGAUUUUGAAAAUUUCAAGGCGAAUUUAAAAUAAAAAAUUAAAAAAAAAAAACGUAACGUACUUUUGCGGUUUAACCACUUUUACUUUAUUUUUUCUGAUUAAACCAUACAAAAGUUUCCAACGUUUUUCCAAAUUAAUCAUUUUGACCAAAUAUAGGUCUCACUAUAAUUAACAAAAAGUAACCAUUUUGACCUGUUAUAUCAUAUAUGACUAUAUCAAGUCAAAACAGUUAUGUACGAAACCUUUAUCAUCAAUUAAAAAAAAAAAACUAUGUAUAAAUCCUUAAACCACAAACCCCCCCUUUUUUAUUUUCCCAUUUUUUUUAAUUACAUCAAAAAAUAAACAAAUUACCAUUUCCGCUGCCGGUUCAAGUAAAAUCCUUGCCCGUGUAAUUAUCCCAAACUGCCCAAGCCCUCCAAGAACACCAUUAAAAAGAUCCGCAUUCUUUUCUUCUGAACACGUCACCACCUCUCCCUUUCCUUCAUCAUAUUACAUAAUUACUCAUUACAUUUUCUAAUUUUUAUAACAAAAAAAAAAUUAUUUUUAUAUUUUAUACAAACCUGUAACAACUUCAAGUUGUUGGACAUUACUAAUCUGAGGACCAUGCCGAAACGCCUGACCACUAAUCCCCGCAUUCGACAACGUCCCUCCAACCGUCAAAUGCAAAUAAUCAGUCCAAGAUUUUGGCGCGAAUCCAAACUUCAAACUCUCCUUCAAAAUAUUAAUCCACAACUCCCCUCCCGAAACAUCAACAUAUCCAAAAUCAAAACCAAAUUCAAAUUCCAUUUUCGGUUUCUUCAACGACUCCAUAUUCACCACAAUCCCUCUGUGCGCCUGAGCCUGACCCUGAAUCGAGUGUCCGUGCCCCCUGGCUGCAACCGUGAGCCCAGACCCAACCCCGAGGUCCCACACAUGGCUCACGGUUGCAGAUAUGUCAGACACUGACUCAGGGUGCAGGACUGCAAAAGGAAGGAAUUGAAAUUGGUUUCCGUAAUCUUUCGCCGCGAAUUCGUUGUCGGUGAAAGUGAAAUGCCCGUCGAUACGUAAAUCCGGGAGUGAAAAUUGGGUGUUGGAAAAACAGAGGUUUAGUUGGAUUGCUAAGAAACUUAGCAACAUGAUUGUGAAACUAAUGCUUCUUAUGAAGAAUGAUAAAGAUCUCAUUCUUUUUUUUUUUCUGGCUAGAAAUAAAGAAAAGAGGAGGGGAUUUAAAGAGAUUUGAUAAGGAUCCGUGUGUAGACUGUCUCCUUUAAAAGUUUCUGACUCCCAAGGGGGUGCCUUUUUAGCUUCCUUUUUCAUGGAAAAAGUCACAAGAAAAAAGAAAGAUUUUGCAAUCUUUGCACUUAUUUGGUUACAGUUACAACCAUAUUUUUAACUUCCUUUUUACUAUCUAUUUGCCAAUUUUUAGGAAAAAGAUACAUUCUUACAUAGUUACAGGUGUCUAAAGAUUAGUCGCGGUUUAGUUUUAGUUUUGAUUUGCUGGAAUUAAAAUGGCAGUGUGGGGUCCACGAAAUCAUGCGAAUUUCAAUAAAGUUUUUGGGACCUCUUUCAACCAAUGGUGUAUGGACAAUUGAAGUGAUGACAGGUCAUUAGAAGACAUAGAUAUCUGUUGCCCAUAAUCACCCAUAUGCUUUAGUUUUAAUCCAAGAUGAUGUGAUGAAUGUACAAGUGUUGAUGCAUAGGGUACAAGUGGAGUAGUGAGGAGUAAGGACAUAUCUUUGUGAAUGAUAAGGGGGACAAGUGGGGUGAGAUUGUAUGCCACUAUGAAAGAUGAGAUUGGCUAGGUGCCCACUAAUGGGGUCCUCUAGAAGUUGGUGAUAAUAACCAUUAACCAUAGAUGCUAAAGAAAAAGAGUUGGUAGGAUUUAGACUGAUUUAGGAUUUUGCUAAUUAAGAUUACUAGUAAUCAUGGAUGUUUUAUCUAAUCAUGUUACAUGUCUAACUUUCAAUUCAUUCUACUUGAUGUUGUUUUGUCUGAUUCACACUCCAUCAAAAUCUAAUUUGAUUUUGAUAUCAUCUCUCCAUUCAUGUCUCACAUAUCACACAUUGUACUUGGACACAAAAAUAAAUCCAUCUCUACCAAAUCUUCACUUGUCUGUAACAGUCUAUUUAUUUCGUUAUUCCUAUUGUUACAACUUAUUCAUAAAUAAUGUUGAUUUUGACUAAUAAAGUUAUAGGGUAUUAUUUUAAGAUGAUUUUGUUGCUAAUAAUAUAACUGUUGGUUAUCUCAUGUUUAUCUAGAAAUUAUUUUCUUAACUCAUAAACUUUCUUUUCGUAAUUAUUACUUUAUUUUAAUGCAUGUGUAUGUCGUGCAAAUGAUGAAAGAUACCAUCCAUAUUCAACGGUGGCUUUUAUUACCACCGUUUAUUCAUUAACAUCAUUUUUCUUAUUCCCUUAGACCAGACAUAUUCCAACUAGAUCCUCAUCGACCCACAUACAUAUAUAAACACAUACAAAACCAUUAAAAAAUAUAUUUUGUGAUGUUAGUAUAAAAAUAAAGAAUUGAAUUAUUAGUAUAUAACUAUAUAUACAAAUUUUGGUUUAGCUUAAUUAUAUUUGAAAAUGUAACUGAUACCCGAAUCCAAUUGCAUUUUGAGUUGGCCAGUUAUUUAUACGGAUACCCUAAUUACAUAAUUAAGAAAAAUAAUAAUUACAUAACUAAGAAAAAAAGAAGCAACCAAGACACUUUAGCAAAGAAACGUGGGGACUAGAAAGAAGAAGAAAGAGUAAGUGGACAUAUAAAAUGAAUAAAAAAUGGCAACCAAUUUGAUUAAUAGAAGCUUAUGUUUAUAGUCAACAUAUGCCAUCAAAUAGAAACGAAAAUUUUUUAAUAUAUCAACUUGUUUUGUACUUGAAAGAUGUAUGAAAUGAAGCCUUGAAAAGUGAAAACUAUAGUGAAAACCACGAAAUCCCUUAAAAAUGCUAAAAAAAAAACGAAAAUUCUAUAAUUUAUCAUGGAUGCCCACUAAAACUAUUAAAAUGAUAUAAGAAACAUAAUUAAAAUUUUAUAGAAGUUGGUGAUUGGUGAAUGAAAACAAGAUGAAUAUUACUUAUGAUGGGAGU